AGGGCCCUCAGGGACCCCAGGGGCCAGUUGGGCCUCCAGGAGAGAUGGGACCCAAGGGGCCGCCGGGUGCAGUGGGAGAACCGGGCCUUCCUGGGGAAGCCGGGAUGAAGGGUGACCUUGGACCCCUGGGCACUCCUGGGGAGCAGGGCCUCAUUGGGCAACGGGGAGAGCCAGGCCUCGAGGGUGACAGUGGCCCCAUGGGACCUGAUGGGCUGAAGGGGGACAGGGGAGACCCAGGGCCUGAUGGAGAACAUGGCGAGAAAGGCCAGGAAGGGCUGAUGGGUGAGGACGGGCCCCCCGGCCCCCCUGGCGUCACUGGUGUCCGGGGUCCUGAAGGAAAAUCAGGGAAGCAAGGCGAGAAGGGCCGCACUGGAGCCAAGGGCGCCAAGGGCUACCAAGGACAGCUGGGUGAGAUGGGCGUCCCUGGAGACCCUGGACCCCCUGGCACUCCAGGCCCUAAAGGGUCCCGGGGCAGCCUGGGACCAACGGU
rnacentral:lncRNA from 1 species